rnacentral:rRNA from 1 species
AGUGAACGCUGGCGGUAGGCCUAACACAUGCAAGUCGAACGGCAGCACAGUAAGAGCUUGCUCUUACGGGUGGCGAGUGGCGGACGGGUGAGGAAUACAUCGGAAUCUACUUUUUCGUGGGGGAUAACGUAGGGGAACUUACGCUAAUACCGCAUACGACCUACGGGUGAAAGCAGGGGAUCUUCGGACCUUGCGCGAUUGAAUGAGCCGAUGUCGGAUUAGCUAGUUGGCGGGGUAAAGGCCCACCAAGGCGACGAUCCGUAGCUGGUCUGAGAGGAUGAUCAGCCACACUGGAACUGAGACACGGUCCAGACUCCUACGGGAGGCAGCAGUGGGGAAUAUUGGACAAUGGGCGCAAGCCUGAUCCAGCCAUACCGCGUGGGUGAAGAAGGCCUUCGGGUUGUAAAGCCCUUCUGUUGGGAAAGAAAAGCAGCAGGUUAAUACCCCGCUGUUCUGACGGUACCCAAAGAAUAAGCACCGGCUAACUUCGUG